UACGUAGGGUGCAAGCGUUGUCCGGAAUUAUUGGGCGUAAAGAGCUCGUAGGCGGUUUGUCGCGUCUGCUGUGAAAACUCGGGGCUUAACUCCGGGCCUGCAGUGGGUACGGGCAGACUAGAGUGCGGUAGGGGGAGACUGGAAUUCCUGGUGUAGCGGUGAAAUGCGCAGAUAUCAGGAGGAACACCGGUGGCGAAGGCGGGUCUCUGGGCCGUAACUGACGCUGAGGAGCGAAAGCGUGGGGAGCAAACAGG
rnacentral:rRNA from 1 species